rnacentral:rRNA from 1 species
AUUGAACGCUGGCGGCAGGCCUAACACAUGCAAGUCGAGCGGAUGAAGGGAGCUUGCUCCUGGAUUCAGCGGCGGACGGGUGAGUAAUGCCUAGGAAUCUGCCUGGUAGUGGGGGAUAACGUCCGGAAACGGGCGCUAAUACCGCAUACGUCCUGAGGGAGAAAGUGGGGGAUCUUCGGACCUCACGCUAUCAGAUGAGCCUAGGUCGGAUUAGCUAGUUGGUGGGGUAAAGGCCUACCAAGGCGACGAUCCGUAACUGGUCUGAGAGGAUGAUCAGUCACACUUGAACUGAGACACGGUCCAGACUCCUACGGGAGGCAGCAGUGGGGAAUAUUGGACAAUGGGGGAAAGCCUGAUCCAGCCAUGCCGCGUGUGUGGAGAAAGUCUUCGGAUUGUAAAGCACUUUAAGUUGGGGGGAAGGGCAGUAAGUUAAUACCUUGCUGUUUUGACGUUACCAACAGAAUAAGCACCGGCUAACUUCGUG